rnacentral:rRNA from 1 species
AUUGAACGCUGGCGGCAGGCCUAACACAUGCAAGUCGAACGAGUGGCGGACGGGUGAGUAAUGUCUGGGAACCUGCCUGAUGGAGGGGGAUAACUACUGGAAACGGUAGCUAAUACCGCAUACCAUCGGAUGUGCCCAGAUGGGAUUAGCUAGUCGGUGGGGUAACGUCGCACCUAGGCGAAGAUCCCUAGCUGGUCUGAGAGGAUGACCAGCCACACUGGAACUGAGACACGGUCCAGACUCCUACGGGAGGCAGCAUGGGGGAAUAUUGAACAAUGGGCGCAAGCCUGAUGCAGCCAUGCCGCGUGUAUGAAGAAGGCCUUCGGGUUGUAAAGUACUUUCAUCGGGGAGGCGUUACCCGCAGAAGAAGCACCGGCUAACUCCGUGCCAGCAGCCGCGGUAAUAC